AAGGAACAAAGGCUUGCAGGAAGUAGAGGAAACAAGCCCCAGCAAAAGAUCACAUUUUCCGCUUGACUCAGCAUUUUGUUGCACUGAAGGCCAAACCCUACUUUGAAUUCAGCUCCCAAGUCCAGAGCAGGCCAACAAAGUUUGUGCUGGAAAUAUUUUGCCAUUUCAGCACACUGAGUGUUCCUGCAGCUACUGGCUGUUUGGAGAGGAACAGGAGGGAGAGAAGCAAAGAUGUAUGAUGGGAAUAUCCAGAAAUCCUGGAAUGAGGGGCAAUAAAAUCAGCUGGAAGUGCAGAACUUACCCAAAAGUGGCCCGUCAGGAAAAGAGGAGAAGAGGCAGAACCUGUGGACCCAUCCCAAAGAAGAUCACAGCUUCUGCCCAGCAUGGAAGCAAAGGUUUCUGUAACUGAAGUGAUGGAAAGUUCUGGAGAAGGUGUGGAGAACAAGGAAAGACCACCAAAUCAGUUGCCACUGUAUGCAUGGGUGCAGAUCCAGAAGCAAACAUGGGCCAGAAAGCUGUUGUCAGUUUUGACACCCUGCUAAUAAGAUCAGAGGAGCAACAAGAGCUGAUGGGGAUCUGAGCAAGUAUUUUGUAUUAACUCUUCUGCAAACGUGACUGAGUGCCUGGAAUAAAUCAGUUUGAUGGUAACUGGGUCUGUGAGUCAUUUGAUAUUGGAUUAUGCAACAUUUGCAAAACACCAAUGUCCUUCUUCCUCGGGCAUGUAAGUGAGA